UACGGAGAGUGCAAGCGUUGUUCGGAAUUAUUGGGCGUAAAGGGCGUCUAGGUGGCAUGGCAAGUCAGGUGUGAAAUCCCUCGGCUCAACCGAGGACGUGCACUUGAAACUGCUACGCUUGAGUAUCGGAGGGGGCAGCGGAAUUCCUGGUGUAGAGGUGAAAUUCGUAGAUAUCAGGAGGAACACCAGUGGCGAAGGCGGCUGCCUGGCCGAAUACUGACACUGAAGCGCGAAAGCGUGGGGAGCAAACAGG
rnacentral:rRNA from 1 species